rnacentral:tRNA from 1 species
GCCUGGGUGGCUCAGUCAGUUAAGCAUCUGACUUCAGCUCAGGUCAUGAUCUCAUACUUUGUGGGUUCAAGCCCCGUGUUGGGCU